CCAGCCUGGGUGACAGAGUGAGAUUCUGUCUCAAAAUAAAUAAAUAAAAGUAUGUGCAACUAGCACAUUAACGUUCCACAACUCUGGGGACAUUACUGUUCAGGAAGAGGCCAAGAUCAAAGAGGUGAGUCAUUUUUAAAUGGACUUAAAGAAAACUGUCUGGCAAAUCGACAGGUCAGGGCUAUGGUGACUGGGAGGGUGUGGAAGUGCCACCCCUGGGGGCAGCCAAGCAAGCCUGGGCAAGGACCUGCCAAAGCUCAGAGGCCAAAGAGCAGCCCAGGAAGACCCGGAGCUCAGAGGCCAGAGAGCAGCCCAGAAGACCCCACAGAUGCCGGGCUGCCCCUCAUUGCAGGGCGUGCAGGGGACCCCGUGGGGGCUCCUGUCCUCUCAGGUGGAAGCUGCCACCCUGGAAGGGCAGAAGGACAGUCACGGAGAACCUGAACAACCAGACUCUCUUGCUGUUGCCUAGGCUGGAGGGCAGUGGUGUGAUCACGGCUCACUGCAGCCUCAACCUCCCAGGCUCAAGCGAUCCUCCCACCUCAGCCUCCCAAAGUGCUGGGACAACAGGCCUGAGCCACUGCGCCUAGCCAUCUCUACAUUAUAACUGCAUGUGAAUCUACAAUGCAAGGUAAAAUUUAAUGAAAAUGAAUGAUGAAUGAAUUGACCCCCCACACUGCAGAGACACCAGUGUAGAGGGCUUGCAUUUAGAAGUCAGCCCUGGCAAAGGCUGGUAGCUCCUAGCACUGCCCAGAGCAGGACCUGGGGCUCAGCCACCUAUCUGAGCCUCCCAAUCCCAGAGUCCACUCGGCCAUCUCUGCCACCCAUCCUCGCGUGUUGUCUCAGAGCACGCAUCUCCCUGGUCUGUCAUCUGCAGAUCUGUCUCCCACACCAGGCUGGGUGCCUCCUAAGACAGGGACUGCAAUCGCGUUUCUCUGUCUCAUCUUGUAUGAUGCCUGACUCAGCAGAUGAUAGAAGUCGAAGGUGCUAACGAUGGGCACACAUCACAAACUCAUUGCGAGGCACAACUCGGCUCAGCGUGACCCUCUCACUGCAUCCCUGGAAGCUCCCAUGGGGCUGGCAAGGGACAGUGUCUGCCCCAAGGCCGCCUGGACCGAGCACCUGUUCCCUUUCCCGCUGUGCCUCCUGCAUCCCCAGAGGGCUCGGGACACAAGCAUGAAUGAAUCGAAGAACCCAAACACCCCAAGGUGUGGUCGGCCAGGUAUCUUCGUUUCCCUGCCUGGUGACACCCCUGCCUUGUGACAGUCAAUGUGCAGAAAUGCAGUUUUCUUCUGCUAGGGGAGGGACUGAGGUGGAGGAAGCCCGUGGGUGCUGGCUGGGCAGGUUAUCUGUCUCAGGGUAAACGGGCAGCAGCUGGUGUAUAACUGGUGCGGAUGGAGCCUAAGGUGGCCCCACAACCCCCACCUCCUGGCAACCACGCAUUUGUAGGCGUUUCUCCCCAUAAAAGUAUGGACAGGGCUGUCACUUAAACCUAACCCAUAAAAUACAGCAGAGCUGACGGACUGUCACUCCUGGGACGAUGACACAUCACACGAUGCUCUAUAUCUUACUAGCCGACUAGCUGAAGACCUCCCUUGCUAGCUUGACAUCAGUAGCCACAUCAGAGAAGCCCAUGGGGCAAGGAACUGCAGGUGGGCCCUGGGAACUGCAGGCGGCCUCCAAGAACCAAGUUAAAAAAAAAAAAAUGAAGCCCCCAUCCUUCAACCGCAAAGUAGUGGAUUAUAUCAGCCACCACAAGAGCUUGGAAGGGGUUGUAUGAGUCUGUUCUCAUGUUGCUAAUAAAGACAUACUAAAUAAUAAAGACUGGGUAAUUUAGAAAGGAAAGAGGUUUAAUGGACUCACAGUUCCGCAUGGCUGGGGAGGCCUCACAAUCAUGGUGGAAGGUGAACGAGCACAGGCACAUCUUACACAGCGGCAGGCAAGGGAGUGUGUGCAGGGGAACUGCCCUUUAUAAAACCAGAUAGUUUCUCAGAAAAUCUCAGAUUCAGAAAUGCGCCUAGCAGAGAAUAAAGACCAAUUCCACACCACACCCGAG
rnacentral:lncRNA from 1 species